rnacentral:tRNA from 1 species
AAUUAGAAAGUAAUAACUUACAUUUAGUUUCGACCUAAACCCCUGGCUCCAUUUAGCCUCUAAUUU